AUCAUUUCCUUCUUUAUGAUAGAACGAUUCAUAAGUUGCCACUCUUGAUUUUGGUUCAGGCAAUUGCAACUCUUCCACAAAUCUACUAGUCAUCUGAACAAACUCGUCCAUACGCGAUUGUUUCCAUUCCUUGUUUGGAUGUGAUAGAAUGUAAUGAAAAAAAAGAAAGGCAUAUAAGCAUUUUGAACCAAUACCAUUGAUAUUAUAUAAACUCUUAAUCAAAUCUGGAGAGUUAGCAGAAGUAUCGUCACUUGAGUCAACGCAUCCAAAAUAGAGAAAUAAGUAAUUUAAUUUAAAAUAAGUUAAAUCACAAACUUAUUAAAAAGCUUAGGUUCACGAAUUUAUGAUAAAUUUAAUUACAUCAAUAGUGUAACAAAAAACUUUCGUAAUAAAAAAAAAUGACCCUAUUAUAUAACCUAGCAUAUUGAAUUUAAAAUAUAAGCAAGACCUAAGAAGCACGGACACGGAUAUGAGACAUAGACAAGACACAAGAUUGACACGGUGACAUACCAUUUUUUUUUUUUUAAUCCAUAACACGAUACGACAUAGACACGUUUAUUCUAAAAGUUAUUUUUAAAAAAUAUAUAUCAUCUUUAUAGUAAAAAAUAAUCAUAGCAAAUGCGUUGAUGCAUUUAUAUGCUUAAAAGACUUGGCUUAAUAUAUUAUACACUCAAGAGUUAUUAUUAUUGUCAUAUAUGUGUCUUUUUAGUCUACUCAACGAGUGUUCUAUGUAUGUUUAAUACAUUUACUACACUAACAAGUGUUCGACAGGUGUCUACCAAGUGUCAGAGUGUCACGGAUACACUGGCCAAGGUAAAGUGUCCGUGCUUCUCAUGGCAAGACAUACAUAACAAUAGUUCUUAACUUAACUCAGAGGGUAAGUCUAAAUCAUGUAUAUUUCUAAAUUUUAGAUCUAAGGUCCUCUUUAAAAAAAACAAAAUGAAAAAUGGUUGAGAAUCAUGAAACUAUUGUCUUAGUUAAUUUAUCUAUUUCGAACAGAUAGACAAUACUCAUAAGCUACUUGAUAUGUCAUACAACUUGUUUAACCUCAAAUUUUGAUUCACCUAUCAACAAAAAUUACUUUACUAACAUAUCCAAGUGGCGGUCCAAAUGUCAAAAUAUAUGUACCUAAAUUAGUGCAAUGACACAGGCUUUUUGUUAACAAAUUUCAACCAUGUUUUUUUUAAGGAUCUAAUUGAAAAUUAUCGAAAUACUAAAGGGUAAACUUGAGAAUUUCAAAAUAUUAAAACCAAACUGAGUAUUGCUUGAAAUAUUAGGGAUGAGUAGAUAUAUUUAGUCUAAAAUUUAUCACAAAUAUUGAUAAGGAAUAGAGAAUAAACAAGAUGUAUUACCUCGAAAUUCCACUCUCCAUACAAAAAGUCAGGAUAGCUAUUGUUGUUCCAAACAUAAGUUAGAGCUGUUAUUUUCUCGGAACCAUCC
rnacentral:lncRNA from 1 species